CGGCGAGUGAAGCGGCAACAGCUCAAAUUUGAAAUCUGGCGCAAGCCCGAGUUGUAAUUUGUAGAGGAUGCUUCUGGGUAGCGACCGGUCUAAGUUCCUUGGAACAGGACGUCAUAGAGGGUGAGAAUCCCGUAUGUGACCGGCCCGCACCCUUUACGUAGCUCCUUCGACGAGUCGAGUUGUUUGGGAAUGCAGCUCUAAAUGGGAGGUAAAUUUCUUCUAAAGCUAAAUACCGGCCAGAGACCGAUAGCGCACAAGUAGAGUGAUCGAAAGAUGAAAAGUACUUUGGAAAGAGAGUUAAAAAGCACGUGAAAUUGUUGAAAGGGAAGCGCCUGCAAUCAGACUUCGUGGCAGUGUUCCGCCGGUCUUCUGACCGGUUUAUUCUCUGUCGCGAGGCCAUCAUCGUCUCGGCCCGCUGGAUAAGACCUUAGGAAUGUAGCUCACCUUCGGGGGAGUGUUAUAGCCUAUGGUGAUGCAGCGAGGCUGGGGCGAGGUCCGCGCUUCGGCAAGGAUGAUGGCGUAAUGGUUGUCGGCGGCCCGUCUUGAAACACGGACCAAGGAGUCUAACAUCUAUGCGAGUGUUCGGGUGUCAAACCCCUACGCGUAAUGAAAGUGAACGGAGGUGGGAACCGCAAGGUGCACCAUCGACCGAUCCUGAUGUCCUCGGAUGGAUUUGAGUAAGAGCAUAGCUGUUGGGACCCGAAAGAUGGUGAACUAUGCCUGAAUAGGGUGAAGCCAGAGGAAACUCUGGUGGAGGCUCGCAGCGGUUCUGACGUGCAAAUCGAUCGUCAAAUUUGGGUAUAGGGGCGAAAGACUAAUCGAACCAU
rnacentral:rRNA from 1 species